rnacentral:lncRNA from 1 species
GCGGGCGAGAGAGGCCGGGGGGCGGGGGGGCCCAAGCACCGGCUUCAGCCCAGGGGUGGGAGUCGUUGCGGGAUCUCAGCCUGCAGGGCUGGGGCCGCAGGGGGCCGAGCUGUCUGGGCGGCAGGAGGGGCCUCAGCUGGUGGCCCCCGCCCCACCGAGCGCGGCCUGAGGCAGGUGACAGUGUCGUGCCUCUCACCGGGACCUUGUCCCACUUCGUGCCCUUUCUCACCUGGUCUGCACCAACCCCUGCCAGUCCCUCUGUCCCCCCAGUACUUCCCUUGUCCAGCUGCCAGCGUGACCCUACUCUUCUCCCUCUGUCUGCUCAGCUGUCUCUGGGUGUGUAGCAAACCGCCCAGCUUCAGUGCUGUCCAACAGCAGCGUUCCUGUGUUCCUGUGUCCUGUGGGUCAGGAACUCAGGGCACUCGGGGACAGCUCCUCUCUGCUCCUCGAGGUGCUGGCCUCCGGUGGGAAGACGUGAGUGGUGGGGCCGGCUCCGCGGGACAGGCUGGAGCCAUCCAGAGACUUCUGCCCCAAGCCAGUGCACCCUCGGCAGGAAUGGCUGGGCUCACCCCGGGUGGUUGGCCAGAGCGCCUGCAGGCUCAGCUGCCAGGGGCAGCCUCCCGGUCCAGCACACAGAGUGAAGCAUCUUGGAGUCACCCCUCAGAUUCAGGGUCUCACCAUGUGUCCCGGGCUGGCGUUGAACUCCUG